rnacentral:pre_miRNA from 1 species
AUAAUACUCCCUCCGUCCGGAAUUACUUGUCAUCAAAAUGGAUGUGUCUAGAACUAAAAUACAUCUAGAUACAUCCAUUUCAAUGACAAGUAUUUUCGGACGGAUGGAGUAGUAG